CGGCGCUGACAGGUGUGAGGCUGACAGCACCGGGGAUGAAGAAGCUGUGUGCAGUUGAACGUCCUCUCAUGGCACAAAAGAAGAUGGACCUAGAAAUAAGGUUCUCCAGAGACUGAAGAGCAGGACGGGAUGAAAGGAACAGCCUCAGACAUGGCCUCUGCAGGAGCACCAGAUACCCACCUGAGCAGCUGCUGAAGCUUGCAGCCCCCAGAGCUGACGGUUUCGAGCUCUACCCAUUGCAUUCAUGUGGUCAGAGGGAAAGACAAGAAACAGCAAGAAAAGGUCCUGCCGAGACUGUGCAAAGGUUCAGGCUGUUUUGGAAGCAGGAGAAAAACAACCACUCCUCUCUUCCUCUUGGAAGUAAUUUUGCCUUUUGGCCCAGCCUUUGCAAAAUGAAAUUUAGAAAGCCUUGCUGAGCUCGGGAGCUGGCGGGAGCCAUCAUCCAGCCAAUUCAUCAUCACAGGAGCCCGGUGUCUAAUAAGCAGGUUUUGUCCUACACGUGUGAGGUGUUGGGCAAAAGAUGACCAGAGGAGGAUGCUUAGGAAGUACAGAGUAUGUUGAGUGGAGAUGCAUAGGGUGAUGCUCUCCCUGAGAGGACACCUAUGGGGCACAGCGUGGUGCCAGGAGGACAUUCUGACAGCAGGGACCAGCCCAGCAGAGCAGUCCCAGUGGGACUGGGACCAGUCACAGCCAGAGCAGGACGUGGGAAGGGCAGGAACCGAGGACCUUAAAGGCCACGGUGUCUGCAUGGUGCACGCAGAUGGUUGUCAGUGCUCGUUCAGAGGUUCCCCAGCCUCACCCGGCAUGGCCCUGCAAGGGGAUGCUGCUGGACUCAUCCUGCCACGUGGGACUGGCUCCUCACAGCCCAGCAGAGCAGCUCCUUGG